GGCAGGGAGCAGGGAGGCCCCAGGAGACAUUGAGGACAGCAGGUUCCUGGGGACAGGGGAGGAGCCACCUCAAGGACAACAAUUGGGUUUACACUGAAGAUCAUAUAAAGGACUUCUUUCCUUCACCCAAUGCGCCUUCUAAUGGGACGGCUCUGUGCAGUUGCCAUUAUUUUGUGUCAUUUCUUCCAUUAUGAUUAUUGUUUAUUUCACAUCAUCGUUUCCUUUUUGCGGGUCUGCUGUUUCCAGUUGUUAACCGGUAGUUUUCCUGGGAUGUGCAUGUUCUUUCCCCACUGCUCCAGGGUGGCACGCUGGCAGGAAGUUCUCACCGGUGCUGAGCGUCCGGGGACAGUCCUGAGAGCGGUGUUCGGGGAGACUGGGGAGCAACCACACUUAAUCUCGAUGGAAGUGAUGUCAGUUUUAAUAGUUUCUGUGCAUCCAGUUCUCAGUCCUUGGACUCUGAACUGGCCUUCUGCCUUAUUUUGACCGGAAGAGCGUGGUGGAAGUGACAGUGUUCCCGUGCGGAGCCGUGACCUUGAGAGGCCUGGCAGGGGCAGGAGUUCCGGGAGUGACCCUGUCACUCUGGAGAUUGUCACUCUGGGCUUGCAGCAGUCAUUCGUGGAGGUCUACUACUUCUUGUUCUAAGGGCCAGAAGUCCAAACUGAGUCAUUUGGGCUAAAAUCAAGAUGUCAGCCAGGACAGUUCCUUCUGGAGGGUCCGGGGGGAAUCCGUUCCUUGCUGCGGCCAGCAGUCAGCGCUCCAUGGCUUGUGGCUGCAUCACUCCAAUCUGCCUCCAAGGUCACCUCUCCUCCUCCUCUGCUUCUGCAGCCAAAUACCCCUCUGCUUCUACCUUAAAAGGAUACUCAUGAUUACAUGUAGGGCCCACCUGGAUACUCUAGGACACUCCUUCUCAAGACCCUUAGCUUAAUCAUACCUGCAAAGUUCCUUUUGCCAUAGAAGGUGACAUUCACAGCCUUUGGGAAUUAGGACCUGGCUAUUCUUCAGCCUGUUACACUGGCUGGACGUGGGGCAGACUUGAAAGUGUUCCUCAGCCGCACCCUGAUUCAUCAGCAAAGGGCAGCACGUCACUGGCUUGGGAGCUGAAGCACAACCUUUGCCCAGUCGGUGGCUGAACUCUAAGCUAUGCUGACUCAGAUGCAACUUCUGGGCAGCCAGGCUUAAAUAUAAGAAGGGGGGAGGACUUCCCUUGUGGCACAGUGGUUAAGAAUCCGCCCGCCAAUGCAGGGGACACGGGAUCGAGCCCUGGUCCGGGAAGAUCCCACGUGCCGCGGAGCAACUAAGCCUGUGUGCCGCAGCUGCUGAGCCUGUGCUCUGGAGCCCGUGAGCCACAACUACUGAAGCCCACGUGCCUAGAGCCCGUGCUCCGCAACAAGAGAAGCCACCGCAAGGAGAAGCCCACGCAGCGCAACGAAGAGUAGCCCCCGCUUGCCGCAACUAGAGAAAGCCCGCGCGCAGCAACGAAGACCCAGCGCAGCCGAAAUUAAAUAAAUAAAUAAAUUUA